rnacentral:rRNA from 1 species
CCUACGGGAGGCAGCAGUGAGGAAUAUUGGUCAAUGGGCGCGAGCCUGAACCAGCCAAGUCGCGUGAGGGAAGACGGCCCUAUGGAUUGUAAACUUCUUUUGUCGGGGAGCAAAAGACGCCACGCGUGCCGUUUCGAGAGUAUCCGAAGAAAAAGCAUCGGCUAACUCCGUGCCAGCAGCCGCGGUAAUACGGAGGAUGCGAGCGUUAUCCGGAUUUAUUGGGUUUAAAGGGAGCGUAGGUGGGUUGUUAAGUCAGUUGUGAAAGUUUGCGGCUCAACCGUAGAAUUGCAAUUGAUACUGGCAGUCUUGAGUACAGUUGCGGUAGGCGGAAUUCGUGGUGUAGCGGUGAAAUGCUUAGAGAUCACGAAGAACCCCGAUUGCGAAGGCAGCUUACUAAACUGUGACUGACAUUGAGGCUCGAAAGUGUGGGUAUCAAACAGGAUUAGAUACCCCUGUAGUC